UUUUGCUAUCUGACAAAGGCUGGAGGAAGAGUGGCAAAUGUCAAAUACCCCGAGCGGCCUGGAUGUGUAAGCUGCGCACAUUAUGUGAGGACUAUUUUGGUUUCUUUAGGAGUUUUUAUAAGAUCUGUUCUUUCAUUAAUUUCACUAGUAUUAGAUUCAUCUGGGAGAAGGGUUUAUAUAAAAUAUAAAGUAAAAUUUGAAUUUUUAUAAAGUUUGUAAUAAAAGUUGGUAAUAAUUACCUUAUGUUUCAGGAAAUCUAAAUCUAGCACGGCACCGUUCAAGUCUUAACAUCCAUGCUUUUGCUGUAGUAUUUCCAUUGAACUAAUUUCGGUGAAUCCAUGUCCUUGUAAAACGAUACAACAACGUUAUGAUUCCUCAAUACAAGGUGAAAAUUAAUCAAAAAAUUCCUCCUAAUUAAACAUAUAAAAAGUUUUUAAAUUUUUAUAAUCACAAACAUUCACUUAAAUUUACCCUCUGAUUUCUAUGUUUCAGUUGCUGGUAUGGCCAACUGAGGUGCCGGUAAGUGCAAAAAUACUGCAUAUGCAUAUGCCCUCUUGCUCAUUGGCAAUGCCCUGUUGACACACGUCACGAUGAUAAACGGUUUCAAAAUCACCUAAACCAAAAGGUUUAAUUGCACGUAAAAAAGUGACAUUAAACCUAGUAUUUGGUGUGUCAAUGAUUUAUGUUCCGUGUAGCAGCGUUUGCAUCCAUAGUUCUGAAUUUGCUUGCAGCACAUAUUUCAUCGCUUCGAAAGUUCUAUGCUGUUACUAUAAGUGGCACCGAUUAGGUUGCGUACCUUUAACGCGCAGUAUGAGGUUUGAAAUAUCUGUAUGGAAAAUUUUAGAAUUCAAGGCAAGAUAAUAUUAUUAUAUUCAACAAUUAUUUACGUAUUCAAUGGUUUCGCCCUUGAUGUUGACCAUUGUUGGCGUAGCUUCUAUUGCGUGCUUCGAAUUGACAGUACAAUGAAGUAUUACUGUAUCACCCUAUUCAAUUCCAUCUUUUGGCUUUAGAAAACUUUUAUUUUACGUUUUACUUAUUUAAAAAUGCGUGCUUCAAAAAUUUAAACUUUAAUUAGGCUGCAGAUCACUGAAUUAAAUAAAACACGCAAAAUAAUACUUCACAAGCAGCCAUGAUAUAGCUCAAAACAAAACUUGUUCAAUCAAACACACGAGAACUUUGGUUGUUUCUUUCUCUCAUUCGGGGUGAUGUACGAGAGAAGAGUUGAGUUAAAUGUUUAUGCACAUUUUACCCUUUGUUUCGUAUGUGUGUAUGUAGUGGUGUUAUUAAAAUUUCUUUGAAUGUGUUGGAGUUUCAGUACCCAUGACUUGCUGGGUUGUAACGAAGGUGGUACCAGAACAGGCUGGAAUCGUCAAACGAAAUCGAUAAAUUACCGGAUUUAUCCAGACAUCGAUCGUCGUCGUUCCAGAAUGUUUGAGUGGCAAUGUUCUGCCGGCGACUAUAUAGGGGCCGACGGAUUGGCAGCAACACACAGUUCUAAUAAGGGAGUUGUCGAGUAAGGACAAUUCUAAGGAUAGAGUUGUCGAGUAAAAUGUGAACAAGUUAUAAAUUACAGUUGUAAAGUGGAGUAUUGAGUAAUAAACUGUUAAGUUAUAAGGAAUUAUAAAACAAGAUGAGCAUAUAUGUAACCAUUGAAGUUUAACUUUUAUUUGACAAUCCAGUGAUCGAACUAAGGGCAGAGUUUCAACCUAAACGACAGAUUUGGAAAUCCGUUACAAUAUGAUGGAUUAUGAUCCAUAUCACAAAGUAUAUAAAUAUUUUGAAAUCCAGAUUAUGGAUCGUGAAUCUCGUGAUAAAUAUUGAACGUGUAGCAUAUUUUGCAAUUUACAAUUCCAAAUCCGUGAAAUGCAAUAGUGCCAAAAUUUUGAGAUCAACUAUAUUCUAAAUACUAUUUUAUAAUUUAUUUAAAUUUAUUAUUCAUAUAAUUCACAUUUGCAGUAGAAUCUUUGCCAGAGCUAUGCAACUCUAAAGCCGAAGGCUUUUUUGAUAACGUACCCUACAAGACGAAGCUAACUCAUACUCCACUACACAUGCAAAGUUUUUCGACUUUUACCAACACAUACACAAUAGUAACAUUUUGUAGUUAAAUGGCAAUCUCGGUAGUUAGAAUGGCAACAAUCAUUAUCCCUAAUUUUUGUAUGUAUAAGAGAGAGAUGCACGUACUACAAUGAACCGAUCAAAAUCUCCGCCAUGGUCGCCAUUCUAAUGAAAAGAAAAUUUGAAGUGAGUGGAUAGCGGUCCUAUGGUUGACUGGGUGCUGCAAAGUAUUUUAAAGGAAUAUAACUGCAGAAAAUGGUAUUGGAAGGCAAAGCGAGCUGCAACACACAUCUGGUGCGUAGAUGCACGUACAUGCAAACACAAACAUGCAAAACUAAAAGGAGAAGCAGAACAAGGAUUAUGCCACUUUAGGCUGAUGGAUAUUUGCAAACUUCGGAAGAAAAACUAAGGCGUAAGCUAGAUACCACCCAUAUAUUCCCAUAUUGGAAGGUAUUGGUGCGGGGAAUCCUACCAGCAGUUCUUCAAGACAUACAACGGCAAUCGCUCAUCAAUCAUACAAUACAAAUUCGAAUUCGACGUAUGAUGGAAGUAGCACUCGUAGUCCUUUGUGUCAGGAAGUAACAAAAAUGAUGCACCUAGAAAUACAACACCAAAUAUGCUACAACAACAGAGUUGGUAUUAAUAUUCCCAUGCAUAUAAUAUUGGUGGAUUAUCGCCACAUGCUGUAACAAAUGUAGCAGCAGGAACAAAUAAUACAUUCCAUUUCAGAAUAAAAGUCAAAUUCGCGCAACGCAUCCCGCAAAUUACAAGGCAUGAUGUACAACAAAUUACAUCGGACUUUUGGAGUAGCAUUUUCACUACUUAUUUUAGACGUCUUAAACACAGGAGACCCUACCCUUGGAUCUACACAAUGGAUAGUUAACAUAGUAACAGAACUCAAAAAACAAUAUUGAGGCGCAGAAGUUGUUUAACCUGUUUCUGAUUUGACUAUCAUGAACUUACAAUUUAUCAUUUUCAGUUAUGAUUGUUAAUUUAUAAGUUUUGAACUUUCGCAAUAGUACUAAUGUACUAAAUUUACUAAAUUUAUUAAUUUAAAUGUAAUACAUUGUUAAAUUAGC